AUAACUUAAGGAAUUAUAACAAAGAAGUAACACAUAAUAAGGUUGCCUUAUUUAGUGUGUAUCAAUCGAGUUUCUGACCUAUCAGCUUUUGAUGUUAGGGUAUUGGCCUAACAUGGCUAUGACGGGUAACGGGGAAUUAGAGUUCGAUUCCGGAGAGGGAGCCUGAGAAAUAGCUACCACAUCUAAGGAAGGCAGCAGGCGCGUAAAUUACCCAAUUCUAAAGAAGAGAGGUAGUGACAAGAAAUAACAAUACAAGGCCAUUUCAUGGUUUUGUAAUUGGAAUGAUGGGAAUUUAAAACCUUCCCAAAAUUCAAUUGGAGGGCAAGUCUGGUGCCAGCAGCCGCGGUAAUUCCAGCUCCAAUAGCGUAUAUUAAAAUUGUUGCAGUUAAAACGCUCGUAGUUGAAUUUCAAAGAAUCAAUAUUUUAAGUAAUACUUUUGCUAUAAGAUGCUUAGACAAUACAACGUAUCUGUUCUUUGCAUUCCUUAUGCAAAAUGUGUUCUUAUUAUAAAAAGGAUUCUUUUUAAAAUCUCUUUUGCUAUUUUUUAGUAUUGGAGAUUUUGUUACUUUGAGUAAAUUAGAGUGUUCAAAGCAAACAGUU
rnacentral:rRNA from 2 species